CACGGCAUCGCAUGUCCGGCCAGUGCACGCCUGCAGCCGUGUCCCAUUCCAGGCAAACCUUCGUGCACGUACAUGGCUUUCCACGGCCAGCUGUCCACGCGUGGGCAGUGGGAUGUGAAACCAGAAAGUGCCGGAAACCAGAGGCUGUGUCCCCUGAGCUGGGCCAGAGGAUUCGGGACUUCCCCCAGCAGGCCGUCCCGCUGCAGCGGGAGAUGAAGAUGUUUCUGGCCUUCCUUGGCUGUCCUUAUUUGCACAUCUUUAUAAAACCUGCCUGUUGGGAUAACGUGACACGGAAGAGAGUUAAUAAAGACGAAGAUUUCCGAAACAAAUUUAACUGAUUUGAAAAAUAAUUACACAAAUAAAUCUGAUCCUCUGACCUUGAACA
rnacentral:lncRNA from 1 species